rnacentral:misc_RNA from 1 species
GUGAAUCAUCAAAUUUUUGAACGCAAAUUGCACUUUCUGGUAUUCCGGAAAGUAUGCCUGUUUGAGGGUCAGUUAAAUAAAAAUCGGUGUUGUUGUUCCCUUUCGUGGUGACGCGACGGCAUGGGGUAGUCUUACUUUUGGUUAAGUGACUUAAAAUUUUUGCAUGUUUUUUGAAUGUAUAUAAAUCGUUUAUGUAUGUUUGCGACAUUGAAUGAUUCUUAGGUUUGGUCAUUAGCAUGCUCCGCGU